rnacentral:rRNA from 1 species
UACGUAGGGACCAAGCGUUGUUCGGAUUUACUGGGCGUAAAGGGCGCGUAGGCGGUAGUUCAAGUCACUUGUGAAAUCUCCGAGCUUAACUCGGAACGGUCAAGUGAUACUGUUUUGCUAGAGUGCAGAAGGGGCAAUCGGAAUUCUUGGUGUAGCGGUGAAAUGCGUAGAUAUCAAGAGGAACACCUGAGGUGAAGACGGGUUGCUGGGCUGACACUGACGCUGAGGCGCGAAAGCUAGGGUAGCAAACGGG